UGGGGAAUAUUGCACAAUGGGCGCAAGCCUGAUGCAGCCAUGCCGCGUGUAUGAAGAAGGCCUUCGGGUUGUAAAGUACUUUCAGCGGGGAGGAAGGGAGUAAAGUUAAUACCUUUGCUCAUUGACGUUACCCGCAGAAGAAGCACCGGCUAACUCCGUGCCAGCAGCCGCGGUAAUACGGAGGGUGCAAGCGUUAAUCGGAAUUACUGGGCGUAAAGCGCACGCAGGCGGUCUGUCAAGUCGGAUGUGAAAUCCCCGGGCUAAACCUGGGAACUGCAUGCGAAACUGGCAGGCUAGAGUCUUGUAGAGGGGGGUAGAAUUCCAGGUGUAGCGGUGAAAUGCGUAGAGAUCUGGAGGAAUACCGGUGGCGAAGGCGGCCCCCUGGACAAAGACUGACGCUCAGGUGCGAAAGCGUGGGGAGCAAACAGG
rnacentral:rRNA from 1 species